rnacentral:rRNA from 1 species
GACGAACGCUGGCGGCGUGCUUAACACAUGCAAGUCGAACGGUAAGGCCCUUCGGGUACGACGAGUGGCGAACGGGUGAGUAACACGUGGGUGAUCUGCCCUGCACUUCGGGAUAAGCCUGGGAAACUGGGUCUAAUACCGGAUAGGACUCCUGGCUUCAUGGUUGGGGGUGUAAAGCUUUUGCGGUGUGGGAUGGGCCCGCGGCCUAUCAGCUUGUUGGUGGGGUAAUGGCCUACCAAGGCGACGACGGGUAGCCGGCCUGAGAGGGUGACCGGCCACACUGGGACUGAGAUACGGCCCAGACUCCUACGGGAGGCAGCAGUGGGGAAUAUUGCACAAUGGGCGCAAGCCUGAUGCAGCGACGCCGCGUGAGGGAUGAC